CUGCUUGAGACUACCGAGUGUUGUAUACGUUUGUCCUUUUCUCAAUAGCGAAGCAGGAUAGGGCCUGGCUGGUACUUGGAUGGAGAAUCGCCUGGUUAUACCGGGUACUUGAGGUUU
rnacentral:rRNA from 1 species